GACAGGACAAAUGCUAGGAGGGAUCGGUGGAAAUUAAAUGAGGUAGACAAGUGAAGGGCAGCCCCCUCUGUUUGAAGAGAAUGCAAAAGGCCAUCCAGCCUUAAACCGCUGAGAUUAGGGAAACCAUGUGAGUCACCGCGCUGAGACAUAACACUACGGGCACCCAAUAAAUGCGGACAGAGGCUUGAAUGCGGAUCCACCGAUAUUAACCUCCACUUGGCAAACAUCAGAGGGUGGCUGGUACCCGGCUUUCCAGGCGGGCCCAACACGAGGAGGGGAGCUGCGCAGCG
rnacentral:lncRNA from 1 species